UGCUCCACUCCGCUUCUUUCUUUAACAAUAGAACAGCAACAUGAUUAUCUACAAGAAGCCUCUGCUUUUCUUCCUUCUAUCAAGUAAAAAAAAAAUUGAAGUUGUCGUUUCAUUGUUCUACUUUUAGAUUCACAUCAUUACAUGUUUCAGAUUCCAGUUUCUAAUUAGCUGUCGUCUCUUCAUUCGAAAUCUCUGACCCCAAACAAAUGUUCUUAUCUGCAGAGACACGACUCAAAACAUACAUCUAGCUUCAGAGCUUCAAAGUUCAAACUCAAGAAGAGUACAACACCAUGACCACAACCACGAACUAUACUCUUCCUGCUCAAAGCUCCUUGGUUAUCUUGAAACAAAAGAUAUCUCUCUUAGUCUCUUACCGUACUAGGGAUCACCACGAAUAAUAUACCAACUUUAAUUAUA